rnacentral:rRNA from 1 species
UCUACGGGUGGUUGCAGUGGGGAAUAUUGGACAAUGGGCGAAAGCCUGAUCCAGCCAUGCCGCGUGUGUGAAGAAGGCCUUCGGGUUGUAAAGCACUUUCAGUGGGGAAGAAAGCCUUGGGGCUAAUACCCUCGAGGAAGGACAUCACCCACAGAAGAAGCACCGGCUAACUCCGUGCCAGCAGCCGCGGUAAUACGGAGGGUGCGAGCGUUAAUCGGAAUUACUGGGCGUAAAGCGCGCGUAGGCGGUCUGAUAAGCCGGUUGUGAAAGCCCCGGGCUCAACCUGGGAACGGCAUCCGGAACUGUCAGGCUAGAGUGCAGGAGAGGAAGGUAGAAUUCCCGGUGUAGCGGUGAAAUGCGUAGAGAUCGGGAGGAAUACCAGUGGCGAAGGCGGCCUUCUGGACUGACACUGACGCUGAGGUGCGAAAGCGUGGGUAGCAAACAGGAUUAGAUACCCCUGUAGUC